UGGGUUAGGUAAAUGUUCCAUGAUAAUGGAUUAGGUAAAUAUUCCAUGAUAAUGGGUUAGGUAAAUGUUUCAUGAUAAUGGUUUAGGUAAAUGUUUCAUGAUAAGAAAUUCAUGUCUUUUGUAUUAAAGAAUUAAAUGGAUGAAAUAUGAAGUUUUAUUAAAAGAAAAAGGGGUGAAAAGAACAAAGUUUUGUCCAUCUUUGUUCAUCAUAGCUGAAAGUUAGAGAAGAGAAAGGAGAGGAGAAAGCUCUUGAGUAUUCGGUCAUUAGGAGGAGGAAAAUUGAAGGCGGUUCGUGUGUGGAUCUCGUCAGCAUAUCGUCGCAAACAGGAAAUCCCCAACCAUAGCGGGCUUGGAGCUGUGAGGGAAUUCGGAGUGGCCACCCGUUCUGAAAGUUUGAUUUUCUUCUGGUGAACUGGACAUCAUUUUAUUUACGUUUGAAGUUUUUGGGCUUUUAAAUGUAAUAAGGCCGCUUAAUUAUUUUUAUGGUUUUAAUAUGUAUUACUAAGAUAGGUAAUACUUAUAUUUAACUAUUGAAAUUGGAUAGCUUUAGGGCACGUUUUCAAAAACAACAGUUGAUUUCAAAAUAACACGACAACAAGCAAAGCUUCCGCAAUGAAA